UGUAAAAUAAGCUAAGUUAAGCUGUUGGGUUCAUACCCCAAAAAUGAAUAGUUAAUUCUUUUACAA
rnacentral:tRNA from 1 species